CUAAGUUGGCAACACUGGUUUAGACUCGGACCAAAGCCCGAUGAGUCGCUGAUAUGCGCAUGCGUGAACCAAACACUUGAAUGAAGGGAAGUAAAGUAAUGUUUUUAUGGUUUCUCAUUGUUUAUGCAA